AAGUCGUAACAAGGUUUCCGUAGGUGAACCUGCGGAAGGAUCAUUAAUGAAUGAGAGGUGUUGGAAGGAGGCGAAGGAAUAAUUCGUCGCCUUUCAAUGCCCAAUCCACCCCAAACGUUGUGUGAACCACAAACCAUGAUCGUCGUCACGUUGGUCCGGGCGUGUCAUGUGCGGUGACGUACCUGACCGUCCAGAACCAUGCGAGUCUGUCGACAUGGAUUUUUAAAAAACCCAUCCAUUCUUAUUGUCUAAAAAAUUGAUAACAAAAACAACUUUUAACAACGGAUCUCUUGGCUCUC
rnacentral:misc_RNA from 1 species